GUGGCAAUGUGGCUGGAGACAGCAAAAAUGAUCCACCCAUGGAAGCUGCUGGCUUCACAGCUCAGGUGAUUAUUUUGAACCAUCCAGGCCAAAUCAGUGCUGGAUAUGCACCUGUGCUGGAUUGUCACACAGCUCACAUCGCUUGCAAGUUUGCUGAGCUGAAGGAGAAGAUUGAUCGUCGUUCUGGGAAAAAGCUGGAAGAUGGCCCUAAAUUCUUGAAAUCUGGUGACGCUGCCAUUGUUGAUAUGGUUCCUGGCAAGCCCAUGUGUGUCGAGAGCUUCUCUGAUUAUCCUCCCCUGGGCCGUUUUGCUGUGCGUGACAUGAGACAGACAGUCGCUGUGGGUGUCAUCAAGGCAGUGGACAAGAAGGCAGCUGGAGCUGGCAAGGUCACCAAGUCUGCCCAGAAAGCUCAGAAGGCUAAAUGAAUAUUAUCCCC